rnacentral:rRNA from 1 species
UACGGGAGGCAGCAGUGGGGAAUAUUGCACAAUGGGCGAAAGCCUGAUGCAGCUAUGCCGCGUGUAUGAAGAAGGCCUUAGGGUUGUAAAGCUCUUUUAGUGAGAAAGAUAAUGACGGUACUCACAGAAGAAGUCCUGGCUAACUCCGUGCCAGCAGCCGCGGUAAUACGGAGAGGGCUAGCGUUAUUCGGAAUUAUUGGGCGUAAAGAGCGCGUAGGCUGAUUAGUAAGUUAAAAGUGAAAUCCCAAAGCUUAACUUUGGAAUUGCUUUUUAAAACUGCUAGUCUAGAGAUUGAAAGAGGAUAGAGGAAUUCCUAGUGUAGAGGUGAAAUUCGUAAAUAUUAGGAGGAACACCAGUGGCGAAGGCGUCUAUCUGGUUCAAAUCUGACGCUGAGGGCGCGAAGGCGUGGGGAGCAAACAGGGAUUAGAUACC